rnacentral:rRNA from 1 species
UAAGUUAUUAAGGGCGCACGGUGGAUGCCUUGGCACUAGAAGCCGAUGAAGGACGUUACUAACGACGAUAUGCUUUGGGGAGCUGUAAGUAAGCUUUGAUCCAGAGAUUUCCGAAUGGGGAAACCCAGCAUGAGUUAUGUCAUGUUAUCGAUAUGUGAAUACAUAGCAUAUCAGAAGGCACACCCGGAGAACUGAAACAUCUUAGUACCCGGAGGAAGAAAAAGAAAAUUCGAUUCCCUUAGUAGCGGCGAGCGAAACGGGAAGAGCCCAAACCAACAAGCUUGCUUGUUGGGGUUGUAGGACACUCUAUACGGAGUUACAAAGGACGACAUUAGACGAAUCAUCUGGAAAGAUGAAUCAAAGAAGGUAAUAAUCCUGUAGUCGAAAAUGUUGUCUCUCUUGAGUGGAUCCUGAGUACGACGGAACACGUGAAAUUCCGUCGGAAUCUGGGAGGACCAUCUCCUAAGGCUAAAUACUCUCUAGUGACCGAUAGUGAACCAGUACCGUGAGGGAAAGGUGAAAAGCACCCCGGAAGGGGAGUGAAAUAGAACCUGAAACCGUGUGCUUACAAGUAGUCAGAGCCCGUUAAUGGGUGAUGGCGUGCCUUUUGUAGAAUGAACCGGCGAGUUACGAUUUGAUGCAAGGUUAAGCAGUAAAUGUGGAGCCGUAGCGAAAGCGAGUCUGAAUAGGGCGUUUAGUAUUUGGUCGUAGACCCGAAACCAGGUGAUCUACCCUUGGUCAGGUUGAAGUUCAGGUAACACUGAAUGGAGGACCGAACCGACUUACGUUGAAAAGUGAGCGGAUGAACUGAGGGUAGCGGAGAAAUUCCAAUCGAACCUGGAGAUAGCUGGUUCUCUCCGAAAUAGCUUUAGGGCUAGCCUCAAGUGAUGAUUAUUGGAGGUAGAGCACUGUUUGGACGAGGGGCCCCUCUCGGGUUACCGAAUUCAGACAAACUCCGAAUGCCAAUUAAUUUAACUUGGGAGUCAGAACAUGGGUGAUAAGGUCCGUGUUCGAAAGGGAAACAGCCCAGACCACCAGCUAAGGUCCCAAAAUAUAUGUUAAGUGGAAAAGGAUGUGGCGUUGCCCAGACAACUAGGAUGUUGGCUUAGAAGCAGCCAUCAUUUAAAGAGUGCGUAAUAGCUCACUAGUCGAGUGACACUGCGCCGAAAAUGUACCGGGGCUAAACAUAUUACCGAAGCUGUGGAUUGUCCUUUGGACAAUGGUAGGAGAGCGUUCUAAGGGCGUUGAAGCAUGAUCGUAAGGACAUGUGGAGCGCUUAGAAGUGAGAAUGCCGGUGUGAGUAGCGAAAGACGGGUGAGAAUCCCGUCCACCGAUUGACUAAGGUUUCCAGAGGAAGGCUCGUCCGCUCUGGGUUAGUCGGGUCCUAAGCUGAGGCCGACAGGCGUAGGCGAUGGAUAACAGGUUGAUAUUCCUGUACCACCUAUAAUCGUUUUAAUCGAUGGGGGGACGCAGUAGGAUAGGCGAAGCGUGCGAUUGGAUUGCACGUCUAAGCAGUAAGGCUGAGUAUUAGGCAAAUCCGGUACUCGUUAAGGCUGAGCUGUGAUGGGGAGAAGACAUUGAGUCUUCGAGUCGUUGAUUUCACACUGCCGAGAAAAGCCUCUAGAUAGAAAAUAGGUGCCCGUACCGCAAACCGACACAGGUAGUCAAGAUGAGAAUUCUAAGGUGAGCGAGCGAACUCUCGUUAAGGAACUCGGCAAAAUGACCCCGUAACUUCGGGAGAAGGGGUGCUCUUUAGGGUUAACGCCCAGAAGAGCCGCAGUGAAUAGGCCCAAGCGACUGUUUAUCAAAAACACAGGUCUCUGCUAAACCGUAAGGUGAUGUAUAGGGGCUGACGCCUGCCCGGUGCUGGAAGGUUAAGAGGAGUGGUUAGCUUCUGCGAAGCUACGAAUCGAAGCCCCAGUAAACGGCGGCCGUAACUAUAACGGUCCUAAGGUAGCGAAAUUCCUUGUCGGGUAAGUUCCGACCCGCACGAAAGGCGUAACGAUUUGGGCACUGUCUCAACGAGAGACUCGGUGAAAUCAUAGUACCUGUGAAGAUGCAGGUUACCCGCGACAGGACGGAAAGACCCCGUGGAGCUUUACUGUAGCCUGAUAUUGAAAUUCGGCACAGCUUGUACAGGAUAGGUAGGAGCCUUUGAAACGUGAGCGCUAGCUUACGUGGAGGCGCUGGUGGGAUACUACCCUAGCUGUGUUGGCUUUCUAACCCGCACCACUUAUCGUGGUGGGAGACAGUGUCAGGCGGGCAGUUUGACUGGGGCGGUCGCCUCCUAAAAGGUAACGGAGGCGCUCAAAGGUUCCCUCAGAAUGGUUGGAAAUCAUUCAUAGAGUGUAAAGGCAUAAGGGAGCUUGACUGCGAGACCUACAAGUCGAGCAGGGUCGAAAGACGGACUUAGUGAUCCGGUGGUUCCGCAUGGAAGGGCCAUCGCUCAACGGAUAAAAGCUACCCCGGGGAUAACAGGCUUAUCUCCCCCAAGAGUUCACAUCGACGGGGAGGUUUGGCACCUCGAUGUCGGCUCAUCGCAUCCUGGGGCUGUAGUCGGUCCCAAGGGUUGGGCUGUUCGCCCAUUAAAGCGGUACGCGAGCUGGGUUCAGAACGUCGUGAGACAGUUCGGUCCCUAUCCGUCGUGGGCGUAGGAAAUUUGAGAGGAGCUGUCCUUAGUACGAGAGGACCGGGAUGGACAUACCUCUGGUGUACCAGUUGUCGUGCCAACGGCAUAGCUGGGUAGCUAUGUGUGGACGGGAUAAGUGCUGAAAGCAUCUAAGCAUGAAGCCCCCCUCAAGAUGAGAUUUCCCAACUUCGGUUAUAAGAUCCCUCAAAGAUGAUGAGGUUAAUAGGUUCGAGGUGGAAGCAUGGUGACAUGUGGAGCUGACGAAUACUAAUCGAUCGAAGACUUAAUCA